rnacentral:rRNA from 1 species
GCACGUAGUUAGCCGGCGCUUCUUCUGCAGGUACCGUCACUUUCGCUUCUUCCCUACUGAAAGAGGUUUACAACCCGAAGGCCUUCAUCCCUCACGCGGCGUCGCUGCAUCAGGCUUUCGCCCAUUGUGCAAUAUUCCCCA